rnacentral:rRNA from 1 species
AGAGUUUGAUUCGUGGCUCAGGACGAACGCUGGCGGCGUGCCUAACACAUGCAAGUCGAGCGGGGACAUACGACGGAUCGGAAGUUUCGGAUGGAAGAGAAGAUGUAUGUUCUAGCGGCGGACGGGUGAGUAACGCGUGAGCAACCUGUCCUUCACAGGGGGAUAACACAGCGAAAGUUGUACUAAUACCGCAUGAGACCACACUGGGACAUCCCAGAGGGGUCAAAGGAGCAAUCCGGUGAAGGGUGGGCUCGCGUCCGAUUAGAUAGUUGGUGAGGUAACGGCCCACCAAGUCGACGAUCGGUAGCCGACCUGAGAGGGUGAUCGGCCACAUUGGGACUGAGACACGGCCCAAACUCCUACGGGAGGCAGCAGUGGGGAAUAUUGGGCAAUGGGGGGAAACCCUGACCCAGCAACGCCGCGUGAGGGAAGAAGGUUUUCGGAUCGUAAACCUCUGUCCUUGGUGAAGAGUAAGAGACGGUAGCCAAGGAGGAAGCCCCGGCUAACUACGUGCCAGCCGCUGC